GUUGAAGAAUUUCCUAGCAAAAAGUUGUCAAAUAAGCUACCUGAAAUUAAAUAGAAAUAAAAGGCUUCCAAUC